GCAAACUUGGUCAUUUAGAGGAAGUAAAAGUCGUAACAAGGUUUCCGUAGGUGAACCUGCGGAAGGAUCAUUACCGAGUGCAGUGGUUGGCUAACCGCCUCCCGCCUCCCAACCUUUGCGUACUAUCCCCUAUUGCCUCGGCGGGUGUGCCUAGUGCGCUCCGCCAGAGGACCGCUAAACUCUGCGUCAAAUAGUGUAGUCCGAGUAAAUACGAAUAGUAAUAAAACUUUCAACAACGGAUCUCUUGGUUCUGGCAUCGAUGAAGAACGCAGC
rnacentral:misc_RNA from 1 species